AAAGUAACUAACUGUAAGUUGCUCUGGAUAAGAGCGUCUGCUAAAUGACUAAAA
rfam:Salmo salar isolate Sally breed double haploid chromosome ssa21, whole genome shotgun sequence.